CCUUCUUGGCACUGGCCACACCCGGGUGGACUCUGGCUGGCUCCUGAGCUGAUGGACAUGGCUUUCCCUGCCCCACGUGCAGUCAGUGAGACUUCCAGCAGAAGAUGUGGCCCCAAUUGAAGGCCUGUGUCUUCUAGCCUUAAGAUAAAGGCUAUGCCUUCCCUACCUCAAGAUCAGGAAUAAAGGUCUGCGUUUUCCUACCUCAAAGGUCUGGACUAGAUGUGGAUUCAAACACUUCAAGCAGAAAAUCUCUCACAGGGUCAACAAGAAGACUCCCAGGAAGACACACUGUAGGAGCUGGAAGACGUAACAGGGGCUGGAGAGAUAGCUUAGAGGUUAUGAGCACUGGCUGCUCUUCCAGGGGAUAUGAUCUCAAUUCCCAGCACCUACAUGUCAGCUCACAACCAUCUGUAACUCCGGUUCUAGGGGAUCUGAUUCCCUCACAUGAACACAUCUGCAGGCAAAAACACCAAUGCACAUAAAAUAUUUCCUGUAAGCUUUGGUGUCAGCUCAUCACUACAUAAAAACUUAAGCUGGGACUACAGCUCAGUGAUACCGUGUGCACUUGCCUAAUACACACAAGGUCCUGCGUCUGACCCUGAGACCCUGGUGGGGUUUAGGACAACACCUCAGAACAUGUUACCUCACCAGCCAAGUUCACUGCUCACCCUGGAGUGCUGUCACCACAACUUCCUUUCAGAAUAUCUUUCUAGCCCCUUGAGGAUGAGGGCAAAGAGCACCACUGAGUAGUUCCACUGAACACUUAAGGAGAAAGCAUCUGUUCUACUAGAAGUCCUUGAAGUGUGGCCCUGAUGAAUAAAAACCAGCCAGAGUGGCUGGAGAGAUGGCUCAGAGGUUAAGAGCACCGAGUGAUCUUCCAGAGGUCCUGAGUUCAAUUCCCAGCAACCACAUGGUGGCUUCCAACCAUCCGCUAUGAGAUCUGGUGCCCUCUUCUG